GGUGUUGGAGCACCGUCAGCAGCUCCGCCUCCCUCUGGAAGUCCUGCCGGGUCGACUCAUUGGCGUCCUUCAGAGUCUGUGACCACACAAGGAUCACACAUUUAAAUUAACAUGCUGCUUAUUCUUUUUUUUAACCCAUAUGACAGACAUAAAACUGAUGGCUAUAAGAUUUUGCAUAAUACAAAUAAAAUACAGUACAAUAAGAAACACAAAAUAAACUUCAAGUUCAACACAAGAACUAAUUAGACAUCAUGAAUUAGAUGUGAUGACAAAUUCAUUUAAAAUUUUUUGAUAAUGUGUGCUUUGGUAUUUCAGAUCUGUACAUUGCAUUAUCUGAGGGAAUAACUGGCCAUGCUUUGGAAGAGAAGAUGUUCAAUCUGUUUGGUAUUAUGAGAAUGAAUUUGAGAAUUAAAUAUGAAGAAUUGACUAAAAGAUGAUGUGAGACAAGACACAUAUAUAAGAACAUAUAUAUUUUUAUAUAAACCCGCAUAUCUGAUGAAUAUUUUUGUCAUAUAGUGGGGCAGGUAGGCAAAACAAUUGUUCAUUUUAUGACUAAAGCAUGAAAUGUUCAGCAUAUAAUCUACAUAACCCAAGAUUUUAUUUCAGACGAUCCAAUUUGUAUCAAACCUCUGGUGACUUGGGACGUCAUUCACCUAAGCAUUUAAUUCUUCCAGUUUUUGCCCCAUUUAUCCAUUAUACUCAUGUAUAUCUUUGCCAAAAUUGCAUAAAGGUAUGUAUUUACUGCUGUGGACAUGUAUUAUAUUUUUGUUUAGAGCAUCAAUUUUGGAGAGGGACUGCAGACCCCACCAUUUCCAAGUGUUAAGGUCCCUGCACUUCCUGCCCUCCUGUGCUUCCCUGCUGUGUCAUUACUUAACUUGACCCUGCCCGAAUGUGUUGGACCUGUGUGUCAUUGUCUCCCUUGCCCCAGUCCCUGCACUUCCUGCCCUCCUGUGCUUCCCUCCUGUGUGAUUACUUGACCCAAUGUGUUGCACCUGUGUGUCACUGUCUCCCUUGCCCUUUAGUCUCAGUGUUCCCUUCCCUGGGUGCCAGUUCGUCUUGUCCAUUUAUGUCAGAGUUCUAGCCUUUCCUCUAUGUGUUUGGUUGCAAGUACAUUUCUAAAUAAAGACUGGUUCUUUA